GCAUGUGGUUUAAUUCGACAUACGCGAAGAACCUUACCUGGCCUUGACAUAGAAAGAAUUUAGCAGAGAUGUAAAAGUGCUAGUUUACUAGAGCUUUCAUACAGGUGCUGCACGGCUGUCGUCAGCUCGUGUCGUGAGAUGUUAGGUUAAGUCCUGCAACGAGCGCAACCCUCGUUGUUUAGUUACUAACAGAUUAUGCUGAGGACUCUAGACAUACUGCCCUGGGCAACCAGGAGGAAGGUGAGGACGACGUCAAGUCAUCAUGGCCCUUACGGCCAGGGCUACACACGUGCUACAAUGGGGUAUACAAAGAGCAGCGAUACCGCGAGGUGGAGCAAAUCUCAUAAAAUAUCUCCCAGUUCGGAUUACACUCUGCAACUCGAGUGUAUGAAGUUGGAAUCGCUAGUAAUCGUAGAUCACCAAUGCUACGGUGAAUACGUUCCCGGGUCUUGUACCCACCGCCCG
rnacentral:rRNA from 1 species